rnacentral:tRNA from 1 species
GGAGAGAUGGCCGAGCGGUUGAUGGCGCUAGUCUUGAAAACUAGUGAUGCUGAAAGGCACCGGGGGUUCGAAUCCCUCUCUCUCCGCCA